GACGUAGGAUGCAAGCGUUGUCCGGAUUUAUUGGGCGUAAAGAGUUCGUAGGUGGUUUGUUAAGUCUGAUGUUAAAGACUGGGGCUCAACCUCGGAAAUGCAUUGGAUACUGGCAGACUUGAGUGUGGUAGAGGCAAUGGGAAUUCCAGGUGUAGCGGUGAAAUGCGUAGAUAUCUGGAAGAACACCGGUGGCGCAAGCGGAUUGCUGGGCCAUAACUGACACUGAGGAACGAAAGCCAGGGGAGCGAACGGG
rnacentral:rRNA from 1 species